GGAGCGGCCGCCGUGACCCUCCAAAACAACACAAAUCAGAACGAACAUUUGCUUUCACCAGCCGCACUACUUCUAAGAGUGAAGAGGAACGUUGGCUGCUCGGAUAGUCCUUCAUCAGACGGGAAUCUCUGCUAUAACGCCCAGUGUCCAUAUUUCUCCAUGGGGGCCUGCAAGAAUGGAUUCUGCGCAUGCGUGCCGAAAGGAACGAACAUGGCUGCCAUUAGGGCAGUGUGCUAUGACAGCUGCUACGCAAGCUGCACGGGGAGUUGUUUAAUGAACAACUUUAACAGGACAAGCCUGAAGAUGCCCUGCGACACUAGCUGCACCAAACUAUGCUAUGAAAAUUAGCAGAUAAUGCGAACGCUAGUAAAUGAAGGCUUGUUCAAACAGCAGAAUAAACUUUUUAAAAACACAAAAACCUGUGCUUGCGAAACAGAAGGACCCAAAAUUUUUAGUAUUUUUUAUUUCGCUAAUUGUAACAAUCAAAUUCCAAGUUCUAGUCUUAAGCCAAAGCAGCGACACUCGUUCUGAGCGAUAUAAUAAGGAAAGUCUGGAGUGAUAAGACAGGGAAACAGCGAAUGAUAUCACUGCUGAGUUGUGAGCCUGGGUGAUUUAGUGAUUCAGUGUUGGGUGUAGUGCAGCUUAUACGAGUGUCUUAUCCCGUUUACUUGUUCUCUGUCCUGUGUUCCUUGCACUACACAUAGGGAAAAUGAUACCACGUGUGGUAGCAGAUAUUAUAUAUAUAGAAACAUGGACAUACGGAGACACUUAGGUGAAAUACAGUAUGACAGGAAACAUAUCAAAAGUACAAAAUUUAAGCAACUAAAAUACACUUGUAACAGGAAGUAGGUAAAACUAAAACAACCAUUCCAGAUUUGUUCUUUUCAUGUACUUUUACCUGAAAGUUUAUUUAAGUUUUGCCUGGGUGACAUUCAAUAAAGGCAUGUGCAGGUGACUUUCAGCCA